GGUCUAUAGAGUGAGUUCCAGAACAGGCUCCAAAGCUACAGAGAGAAACCCUGUCUCAGAAGGAAGGAAGGAAAAAAUAAAGGAAGGAAGGAAGCAAGCAAGGAAGGAAGGAAGGAAGGAAAGAAGACUUUUUUCUGGAUGAAAACAAGUCAGACAGGACAUGAAGGAUCAUCAGUGUUCUAGAAUACAGGAUAACUGGAUUUCUCUGUACUUAAUGCAGAAAAAACAAAGCAAAAAUCCCUAGAGCUCCUGCCAGGAAUCAGAGC
rnacentral:lncRNA from 1 species